rnacentral:rRNA from 1 species
GUUGGAACGACUGCUAUACCGGAUGUGCCCACGGGUGAAAGGCUUGCUGCCUGAAGAAGAGCUUGCGUCCGAUUAGCUAGUUGGUGAGGUAAAGGCUUACCAAGGCAUCGAUCGGUAGCUGGUCUGAGAGGAUGACCAGCCACACUGGGACUGAGACAAGGCCCAGACUCCUACGGGAGGCAGCAGUGGGGAAUUUUCCGCAAUGGGCGAAAGCCUGACGGAGCAAUACCGCGUGAGGGAAGAAGGCUCUUGGGUUGUAAACCUCUUUUCUCUGGGAAUAAAAAAAUGAAGGUACCUGAGGAAUAAGCAUCGGCUAACUCCGUGCCAGCAGCCGCGGUAAUACGGAGGAUGCAAGCGUUAUCCGGAAUGAUUGGGCGUAAAGCGUCCGCAGGUGGUACAACAAGUCUAGUGUCAAAGACCGGGGCUUAACUCCGGGAUGGCGGUGGAAACUGUUGAACUAGAGGGUCGUAGGGGUAGAGGGAAUUCCCAGUGUAGCGGUGAAAUGCGUAGAGAUUGGGAAGAACAUCGGCGGCGAAGGCGCUCUACUGGACGGCACCUGACCCUCAUGAACAAACGCUUCGGGAUCGUAUGCCAUUACAUACCCCUGUUUUCAACCCGUUACUCACCCGUCCGGG